CCAAUAUCAACCAUCUACUUAGAUCUGAUCCAACAGCUGAGAUCAGGAGGUCCCAUAUGCUAUAUAUAUGGGUUUCCAUGGAAACAUUUCCCUUCUUUAAUACCCUUCUUUAAUACCAAGACUUAUUUCCGGUCUCCAAGCAAAUUUCCCUUCGUUUUACCACUUUUUCUGGAUUAGGAAGAGUGAUAUUGUCCUCGGGUUUCAAUCAUACCAUAAUUUAUAUGCUCAAAAAACCAUUACCACCAUUUAUUUCCUUAAUUU
rnacentral:lncRNA from 1 species